rnacentral:rRNA from 1 species
GAUGAACGCUGGCGGCGUGCUUAACACAUGCAAGUCGAACGGUGAAAGCGGAGCUUGCUCUGCUGGAUCAGUGGCGAACGGGUGAGUAACACGUGAGCAAUCUGCCCCUGACUCUGGGAUAAGCGCUGGAAACGGCGUCUAAUACUGGAUACGAGCUGCGAAGGCAUCUUCAGCAGCUGGAAAGAACUUCGGUCAGGGAUGAGCUCGCGGCCUAUCAGCUUGUUGGUGAGGUAAUGGCUCACCAAGGCGUCGACGGGUAGCCGGCCUGAGAGGGUGACCGGCCACACUGGGACUGAGACACGGCCCAG